rnacentral:lncRNA from 1 species
GGACCCGAGACUCGAACACGGGUCCUCCAGAGUGGAAAGCCGAAGCGUUUCCACGCGGCUAAUCCGGCCGACCCCGGGCACCAUUUUCGCCGCCUAACUUUAAAAAUAAAUCGAAUAAUUCUUCGGUAUUAAAAGCAUCUAUAUAAAUGAAAAAUACGACAUUGGUGGUUGGAAAGACGCCCCUUGGCUUUUAUAUAUUCGCUUAAUCUCUAGCCAUUCGUCUAUCGAUUUACACCGAUUGUCCGAAAGAAAUUAUUCCCGUUCCCGGAAAAGGGCUUUCUUCACCGUCUGGUGGACACUUUAGCUUCGACUUCGACCGUAGGCUAUAAACUAGCGUAUUCGAAGGUGGAGUGAUGGAAGGUGGGUCUCGAAAGUCUAACGCUUUUCCUAUUCUGUCCAUUCUUCACCGGAAAUGAAAUUGCCGAUGUUGGCCAUUUCUCGAUAACUCGGGCCUGGUAUGAAGCGGUCUGGUCGAUGCAAUUAAGACUAGUAACUAUCGAUGGUAGAAUUUCUUGGUGUAGUUCGUUACGUUCAUUUUCAUUUCCCGCGGUACAAACUGCCAGUCUUUCCGUUCCAGUUGAUUCCACAGCGCACCAUCACCGAAGUUGGCUUCUGAUCCCGGUACUUUUUCCAAACUUCCGGGAAUCUGUCGACUGGGUGAAGCGAAGAAUGUUUUUGUAGCCGUCACCAGCCUAGAGCUUCGAUAAUGCCCCAUUCUUCUUUGGUCGAAAAAAUGGGUUUAAGAUUUGUAGAUCUUCGGAACUGUAGACGCGUUAAUCGGCGGAGUCAAUUUCUUUCGGUUCGCUCAAGGAUUUCGUCCAGUUAGUGCGAAUAGAACCUUUGGCCUUCUUUCCGUUCUCGGUCUACCGGAUCUUUUUCUGUCACUAACGUGGCUGAUUUUUUCUGUAUACCUACUGGCGUCAUCGUAUCGUCCUCCUUCCAAUUCCCACAUUUUUAAUAACUGACUUAAAAUUUUC